rnacentral:lncRNA from 10 species
GGUCAGUGAAAUAUGAGAUGAAGUCUGUGGGGAGUGCCUAAAAAUAUUCCCCUUGCUUUUAAAAAGUUCACAAAACCCAUCCUUGUCUUUUUUGGACAUUGAUGUCUACAUCAAUGGGAGCAUCCAUCUUGGAGCCAUGAGAGCUGCUGGCCGAUGGAGGAAAGCCAACACACUGAGGUAGCAGAGCAGAAGGAAGAAAAGAAAUGGAAUCCUUUAUUACACCAUUGAGAUGCUGAGUUCACCCAACCUGCCCACUAAAGGAAGAAGCAAAGAAGUCUAAGUUCUUUGGAGUAAGAUGCUCUCAAAUGCCUAGGAACACUGAUCUCCUAACUUGUCUUCCUGCUUUGAGUGUCCCUCUGAGGUUAAAGUUCCUGCCUCAGUCUCCAACAAUGGUAAGUACAAAAUCAAUGUUAGUUCCUGACCGCUCCCCCUCUCUGUGUAUUGGUCAAUCACUGUCUGAUCAUACUGUACUGAAAUUAAUUCUUGGAAUGUCUGUCUUCCCCUAGACUAUAAGCCUCUCUGGGCAAGAUCCACGUCUUACUCAUUUUUGUGUCUGCAGUUUAGUUCCUGGUUCAUUGUAGGUUCUCAAUAAACGUUUGUUAGAAUGAGUUGAUCUCUUGGAUCCAGUGCCCCAGAAAGAUAUGUAAGUACUAUUUUUAUCCUUUCCCAUUGUGUGUCCACCUUCUCUCCAAUCCUAGAUCACCAAAAGUGAAGCAGAAGUGAUGAGAGUAGCAAUUUGUAGUAUCAAAACGACUUCUUAUAGUGCACAGAAAGCCCAGCACUGUCUCGUAUGGGAGACUCGUGGUUCUGCCACUGUCUUGCUGGGUGACCUGAGAUAACUUCUUUUCUCUCUGGGUCUGAUUCCUCACAGGUCAUUUCCACUGCUGCCCACUGAGGAGUGCCACUGGAGAUGAUCUCACAACAAAGAGAGGGGGAGAGGCUGCUCCUCCCGUCAGAAGAUGGAGACUGCUUCCUUGCCCUUCAAUCCAAGCUGGCUCAUGACUUGCUUCAAUGAAUAGGAAAUGGCAGAAGUGAUGCUCUGAGGCUUCUGGGCCUAGACUUUAAGAGGUGUUGCCCCUUUCCUUUUUCCCUCUUGGGAUCCAGCCUACCACAUAGAGAAGUUUGGGUUGACAACUAAAUGUGAGAGAGAGACAGACAGAGAGAAGAGGGAGAGCUGAUUCAGCUAGACCUUAGUCAUUCCAGCCAUCCUAGCUGAAGCACUAGCAUGUGAAAGAAGCCACCUUCUAACCUAUCAAUCAGAGCCCCCAAUUUUACUGACCUCAGUCAACACCAUGUGGAACAGAACUACCCCAGGGAGCCCAACCAACCCAUACAAUCAUGAGAAAUUAAAAACUGAUGUUGUAGCCUCCUGAGUUUUAAGGUAGUUUGUUACACAAAAAUACUGGAAUUUUGACCCACCUUCACCUCCAAUGCCAACCUAGUAAACCUGGAUAUAUCUUUCAAAAUUUGGCUCAAGUGUCAACUCUUUCAUGAACCCUCUGUAUCCUUUUCUUGCUCAUUCAAGCCCUAUUUUCUCUUCUCCUCCCCAAAAUUCCAUAGUACUUUGUAUUACAAACUAUGUGCUUACAACCCCCAAAGUCUCUGGGCAUCCAGAAGGCAGAGAUUUGGCUUAAUUCAUUUUUGCCUCUGCCUAGCCUAACACCCGGCACAUUUAGAUAUUUAGUUAUUGUUUGCUGAAUGAAUGGAUGCAUGAAGAAGAAAAUUUAACAGAUGAUAUCUACAGGCACAUCUGGCUCCAAAAUUGAAUCAUGUCAUCUAGCAAUGCUCAGUAAAGUUAACAUAAGCAAUUUC